CACGGCGGUAGAUCACCUAAGAUCAGCGACGUCCUGUCGCAACGGCGAUCGACUGUACAUCUUGUACG
rnacentral:sRNA from 1 species